rnacentral:tRNA from 1 species
UGGGGUGUAACUCAGUGGUACAGUGCUUACCUAGUAUGCAGGAGGCCUAGGUUCAAUCCCCAGCACUAAAA